GAAAAUGUUAGUGUGAAUAAGGUUUCUACUUUGCGGGAUGUGGCUGUAUUUACUUACGAUGGAUCUUACUAGAAACAGUAAGAAAUUAACCAAAGGUUUGUACUUCAUGCUGCCCAAACUGUGAUGAUCAUAUGGUAACUAGACAGGAGUGGAAACUUGUUAAACGUGCAGAGGCAGUUUUAGGAAUUUUCUUGAGUUCAGAGUACGAAAGAAUAUAUAUACACAAAACACUGGAGUCUGAGCAGUCAUCGGUAUAACUAGGGAAUUUUCAAACCAAAGUGGCUCAGCGGGAGCAUUUCUCUGAAUCAACAAGGAACGAUACACAUGGCUGAUGAUGAUAACAAAACUGACCUUGACGCUUC